UACGGGGGGGGCAAGCGUUGUUCGGAAUUACUGGGCGUAAAGGGCUCGUAGGCGGCCAACUAAGUCAGACGUGAAAUCCCUCGGCUUAACCGGGGAACUGCGUCUGAUACUGGAUGGCUUGAGUUUGGGAGAGGGAUGCGGAAUUCCAGGUGUAGCGGUGAAAUGCGUAGAUAUCUGGAGGAACACCGGUGGCGAAGGCGGC
rnacentral:rRNA from 1 species